rnacentral:rRNA from 1 species
CUCGUAGGUGGCCAACUAAGUCAGACGUGAAAUCCCUCGGCUUAACCGGGGAACUGCGUCUGAUACUGGAUGGCUUGAGUUUGGGAGAGGGAUGCGGAAUUCCAGGUGUAGCGGUAAAAUGCGUAGAGAUCCGGAGGAACACCAGAGGCGAAGGCGGCGUCCUGGCCCACACCUGACGCUCAUCCACGACAGCAUGGGGAGCGAACG